AAAGGCCCCACGAUUAUUUACAUUGCAGCCUUUUGCUUCUUUUGAUGACUAUCGAUUCUUACCACUGUAAAGUUUUUACCAGUCACCAGGAUAUGCCUAAGAAACUUAGCAGAUCACUGACAAUGUUCCAAAAAGUCACGCAGCCUCAUCAAUGUUCAACUUUCUGAGAGCAUCAGGUUUGUUUGCAUUGCUGCUGGACGGGAUUGUGGCUGAAUUCUGUAUGCCCCCCUGUAUCAAGCUGUAACAAAGCUAUUUUCCAGAAGAAAAAUAGCAUCUUCUUGUGGAGCUGAACAGAAUGGAACAGAAAUGGCAUCUUGAUCUGAAUUGAGUGGCGUAUCCUGUGGAUCUCAGUGGUUCGACUAAUUUCUGAGACAGAUGGAAUAAAAUAGGGUGAUCUUGUUACGUUUGGCAAAUGUUGGAUCUCUGCAUUCAUGAUUCCAUGAUACAUGCAUACUCCUCCAGCAUGGGAUGAGCACAAUAAUGAAGUAAGUACAAGGAUAAUCUUUCCUUCAUUUUGUACAGUUUCUUAGUUUCUUAUGCAAUAGCUGGAGAAUUCUUUGUAAGAACGUCUAGAUGGGUAACAUAUAUAGGAUCUACUUUUUUUU